GGCAUCCGAGCUGAGGCGUCUCUGCUCUGUAAACAAACUCAGCGAUCCUCGUCCCCAGAUCCACCUUUUUGCACAUACACAGUUACUUGCUUCUGCUGUUGCCCUGGAUCCGGGAGGUGGGGGUGUGUACAAACUUGCAGAGCCUCCCUCCGGGCUCUGCCUGACGGUUUGGGGUUGAUUUAGAAGCAAACGGGUUUGUAAUUAAGAAAUUUGAGGGCUGAGUAAGGCUGCUCUUGCUGGAAAAGGAAAACAAAUAGAUAACGUGGUAAUCGCUUUGUAAAUAAAGUCGUUCUGGAGGUGGGCACGUAGCUGCACGUCCCGUAUGGCACCACGCGCACACACACGGCUGGGACUCUUCCUUUUCAGUGAAAUUGUUCAGUGGGGCAAUGGGCGAUAAUAAUAACCUUGCUUCCACAACGCGGCACAACGAGCCUGGUCGCCCGUUUGGUUCAUUGACUUGCAAAUAAAACCCCUAACACAGGUCUGGGCUACUACCAAGUCGGAGCUCUCUGGCUUUCUCACAUGGGGAAGCCGAGUUGUUUCCCCAACACCAUGAUGGGGCUGUUCUGAGCUUUUACAUUGCUCUUUAUGUGGUAAAAUCGAGUUUAGCGCUCCGAAUAAGGACUUCUGGGCAGUUGUUUCUUCAUAACUCGAUAGCCAUUGAAGACUUCCUGCUGCGAAGAGCGAGUCCGCCUCCCCGCCCCCCCCUCGUCUUUUUCCCCCUUCUUGCACACAAGACUUUUAAAGGCCCUGUUUCUUGAGGACUGGAAAUUCUGAUACAUUUCCCCGUUCAGGAAUUUGCAAAAGAGACCCAAUCCUGAUUAUUUUCGUCUAUGACCCCUCUGUCUUUUCCUAGUCAGGCAUAUUUUUGUAAAUGUUGUUACUUUGUGUCUUGUCUUCUUUCCUCUUCCAGGCUCUCCGGCAAACCGUGCAGGCAAAUAAUUUUUAAACCUCAAAAAUAUUUACUUUUUAGAGAUACGGGCACAUGACACAUUGCAUUGUUAGUUGCAACAAUUCCCUAUUCUCCUAACCUCCCACCACCUUUACCUGUAGGUCAGGACAUGCAGUUUACCGUAUCAGAGGCUUGGAUACCUGAAGGGGCCACUUCCUAUAAAAAAACAGAUUCUAAAAUAUUGGUAAAACCCAACCUGAAAAAUCGCGGGAUUGUUUACUUUCCCUUCUUUGUACUGCAAGUGUCUUUCGACACAAGAAACAGCUUUUGAAUGUCUAAUCUAAAUUCCUCUUGCAACCACUAAGGAAAGGUGGAGCUCCAUCCAGCUCCAGUGGUUCUACCUACUAUUGGGAAAUCCCUGGAAAGGUCACCUGCCCAUCCCCCAUCCCUUAAAGGAGAACAAAAUAGUUCUGGGACCAGCUGGUUGGAACAUGGCAUGCUUUGUUCAUUUAUUCUCAUCCGUCCACUGAAUGUCCUCCAAGUGCCAAGUGCUUUCUUGGUGCCUGGAGAUACAAACAAGAUAGGAACUCAUGGUCACAGGGAGAAAACUGACAAACAGGCCUUGAACACACUGUGAUAAAUGCCACAAAGGCAUUGAAGGAAAGGGCUUUGGAGAGCACAUAGGAGGGACACCUACCCCCCUCCUGGGUGCUUUGGGAAGGCUUUCCGGUGGAGAUGGUGACUA
rnacentral:lncRNA from 1 species